rnacentral:rRNA from 1 species
UAACUGGGUACAUGUCCACCAUGGGCAUGUCCGUGAAUGUAAAGUCCACUGGAAUGUGGCAGCGCUUCGGCGUUCUUUGGGUCAGAGAGGGUGAAAACCCCGUUUACAUUCAUUGUGGGGCGUGUCUGUUGUGUGGGCGUGUUGAAGAGUCGGAUUGUUUGGGAAUGCAAUCCAAAACGGGUGGUAAAUUCCUUCCAAGACUAAAUAUUAGCAAGAGACCGAUAGCGAACAAGUACCGUGAGGGAAAGAUGANAGCACUCUGGAUAAGAGUUAGUAAAACGUGAGA